GAUGAACGCUGGCGGCGUGCCUAACACAUGCAAGUCGAACGAAAAGACGAGGAGCUCUCUCUUCUGACGUUAGCGACGGACGGGUGAGUAACACGUGGAUAACCUUCCUCUUUGACUGGGAUAACUUCGGGAAGCCGGAGCUACUACUAGAUAAUACAUUGAACCGCUGGGUUCAGUAGUGCAUGACGGUUUUGCUGUCACUUAUAGAUGGAUCCGCGCCGCAUUAGCUAGUUGGUAAGGUAACGGCCUACCAAGGCAACGAUGCGUAGCCGACCUGAGAGGGUGAUCGGCCACACUGGAACUGAGACACGGUCCAGACUCCUACGGGAGGCAGCAGUAGGGAAUCUUCGGCAAUGGGCGAAAGCCUGACGCAGCAACGCCGCGUGAGUGAUGAAGGUCUUCGGAUCGUAAAGCUCUGUUAUUGGGGAAGAACAACUGUGUAAGUAAAUAUGCACGUCUUGACGGUACCUAAAGAAAAAGCACCGGCUAACUACGUG
rnacentral:rRNA from 1 species